AUUGCACGCUGGCGGCAGGCCUAAUACAUGCAAGUCGAACGAGUGGGGGAAGGGUGUGUAAUGUGUGGGAAACUGCCUGAUGGAGGGGGAAAACUACUGGAAACGGUAGCUAAUACCGAAUACCAUGGAAUGUGCCCAGGUGGGAUUAGCUAGUAGGUGGGGGAAAGGCUGACCUAGGCGACGAUCCCUAACUGGGCUGAGAGGAUGACCAGCCACACUGGAACUGAGACACGGUCCAGACUCCUACGGGAGGCAGCAGUGGGGAAUAUUGCACAAUGGGCGCAAGCCUGAUGCAGCCAUGCCGCGUGUAUGAAGAAGGCCUUCGGGUUGUAAAGUACUGUCAGCGGGGAGGCGUUACCCGCAGAAGAAGCACCGGCUAACUCCGUGCCAGCAGCCGCGGUAAUUC
rnacentral:rRNA from 1 species